GAUUCGUCACACUAUCAUUAACUGAAUCCAUAGGUUAAUGAGGCGAACCGGGGGAACUGAAACAUCUAAGUACCCCGAGGAAAAGAAAUCAACCGAGAUUCCCCCAGUAGCGGCGAGCGAACGGGGAGGAGCCCAGAGCCUGAAUCAGCAUGUGUGUUAGUGGAAGCGUCUGGAAAGGCGCGCGAUACAGGGUGACAGCCCCGUACACAAAAGCGCAUGUGCUGUGAGCUCGAUGAGUAGGGCGGGACACGUGGUAUCCUGUCUGAAUAUGGGGGGACCAUCCUCCAAGGCUAAAUACUCCUGACUGACCGAUAGUGAACCAGUACCGUGAGGGAAAGGCGAAAAGAACCCCGGCGAGGGGAGUGAAAAAGAACCUGAAACCGUGUACGUACAAGCAGUGGGAGCACCCUUCGGGGUGUGACUGCGUACCUUUUGUAUAAUGGGUCAGCGACUUAUAUUCUGUAGCAAGGUUAACCGUAUAGGGGAGCCGGAGGGAAACCGAGUCUUAACCGGGCGUUAAGUUGCAGGGUAUAGACCCGAAACCCGGUGAUCUAGCCAUGGGCAGGUUGAAGGUUGGGUAACACUAACUGGAGGACCGAACCGACUAAUGUUGAAAAAUUAGCGGAUGACCUGUGGCUGGGGGUGAAAGGCCAAUCAAACCGGGAGAUAGCUGGUUCUCCCCGAAAGCUAUUUAGGUAGCGCCUCGUGAAUUCAUCUCCGGGGGUAGAGCACUGUUUCGGCUAGGGGGCCAUCCCGGCUUACCAACCCGAUGCAAACUGCGAAUACCGGAGAAUGUUAUCACGGGAGACACACGGCGGGUGCUAACGUCCGUCGUGAAGAGGGAAACAACCCAGACCGCCAGCUAAGGUCCCAAAGUCAUGGUUAAGUGGGAAACGAUGUGGGAAGGCCCAGACAGCCAGGAUGUUGGCUUAGAAGCAGCCAUCAUUUAAAGAAAGCGUAAUAGCUCACUGGUCGAGUCGGCCUGCGCGGAAGAUGUAACGGGGCUAAACCAUGCACCGAAGCUGCGGCAGCGAACGUAUCACCCAAGACAACUUUACGGAGUUGACGAUUGACGGAGCGAAGCGACGUCAAAGCGUUCAUUAAAGUCGAGUUGGCUUAGGGAUACGUUCGUUGGGUAGGGGAGCGUUCUGUAAGCCUGUGAAGGUGUGUCGUGAGGCAUGCUGGAGGUAUCAGAAGUGCGAAUGCUGACAUAAGUAACGAUAAAGCGGGUGAAAAGCCCGCUCGCCGGAAGACCAAGGGUUCCUGUCCAACGUUAAUCGGGGCAGGGUGAGUCGACCCCUAAGGCGAGGCCGAAAGGCGUAGUCGAUGGGAAACGGGUUAAUAUUCCCGUACUUGGUGUUACUGCGAAGGGGGGACGGAGAAGGCUAUGUUGGCCGGGCGACGGUUGUCCCGGUUUAAGCGUGUAGGUGUGUGUUCCAGGUAAAUCCGGUUCACUUUAACACUGAGGCGUGACGACGAGGCACUACGGUGCUGAAGCAACAAAUGCCCUGCUUCCAGGAAAAGCCUCUAAGCAU
rnacentral:rRNA from 1 species